AUGAGGAUGAUCUGUACCGUCAACAUUCGUGGCAAAAAAGACACUAUCAUCCCCGUCGGCUACUAUGGCAACGCCUUCGCUUCCCCGGUCGCCAUAUCCACUGCAGGUGACUUGCUCGCCAACCAUGUGAGCUACGCCGUGGAGCUGGUGAUGAAGGCGAAACGGGAGGUGGAUGUGGAGUACAUUCUCUCCGUGGCAACACUCAUGGCACAACGUGGGCGGCCACACUUUGCUGUGGCACGCACCUACCUCGUGUCGGACGUAACCAAAGUUGGAAUCCGCGACCUUGACUUCGGCUGGGGCAAGCCGGUGUAUGCUGGUCCGGCGACUGGCGGAGUCGUCACCUUACAAGGCGUUAGCAGCUUCUUCAUUGUUGUAAGGAACGCCAUGGGCGAGGAGGGUAUUGCAAUCCCCGUGUGCAUGCCCAGCCCCACCAUGGACAAAUUCGUUAAGGAGAUGGGCAAGCUCAUGUGCCCGGCAUUGGCCGACACGUUUUCCAAGAUGUGA
rnacentral:rRNA from 1 species